UGCUAACGUCCGUCGUGAAGAGGGAAACAACCCAGACCGCCAGCUAAGGUCCCAAAGUCAUGGUUAAGUGGGAAACGAUGUGGGAAGGCCCAGACAGCCAGGAUGUUGGCUUAGAAGCAGCCAUCAUUUAAAGAAAGCGUAAUAGCUCACUGGUCGAGUCGGCCUGCGCGGAAGAUGUAACGGGGCUAAACCAUGCACCGAAGCUGCGGCAGCGACGCUUAUGCGUUGUUGGGUAGGGGAGCGUUCUGUAAGCCUGCGAAGGUGGCCUGUGAGGGUUGCUGGAGGUAUCAGAAGUGCGAAUGCUGACAUAAGUAACGAUAAAGCGGGUGAAAAGCCCGCUCGCCGGAAGACCAAGGGUUCCUGUCCAACGUUAAUCGGGGCAGGGUGAGUCGACCCCUAAGGCGAGGCCGAAAGGCGUAGUCGAUGGGAAACGGGUUAAU
rnacentral:rRNA from 1 species